GAGUUUGAUCGUGGCUCAGGACGAACGCUGGCGGCGUGCCUAAUACAUGCAAGUCGAGCGAGCUUGCCUAGAUGAUUUUAGUGCUUGCACUAAAUGAAACUAGAUACAAGCGAGCGGCGGACGGGUGAGUAACACGUGGGUAACCUGCCCAAGAGACUGGGAUAACACCUGGAAACAGAUGCUAAUACCGGAUAACAACACUAGACGCAUGUACUAGUAGUUUAGAAAGUAUGGUUCUGCUA
rnacentral:rRNA from 1 species